rnacentral:misc_RNA from 1 species
GAUGAAGAACGCAGCGAAAUGCGAUAAGUAGUGUGAAUUGCAGAAUUCAGUGAAUCAUCGAAUCUUUGAACGCACAUUGCGCCCUUUGGUAUUCCAAAGGGCAUGCCUGUUCGAGCGUCAUUUGUACCCUCAAGCUUUGCUUGGUGUUGGGCGUCUUGUCUCUAGCUUUGCUGGAGACUCGCCUUAAAGUAAUUGGCAGCCGGCCUACUGGUUUCGGAGCGCAGCACAAGUCGCACUCUCUAUCAGCAAAGGUCUAGCAUCCACUAAGCCUUUUUUUCAACUUUUGACCUCGGAUCAGGUAGGGAUACCCGCUGAACUUAAGCAUAUCAAAAGCGGAGGA